UGUGACGCCAUCAGUUGAAGUUGGUUGUUUUAAAUACAAAGUCUUUUGAUUUUUUAAAACUUUAAUCAGUAAUAAGUCGAGAAAGAAAGCAUAAAAUGUUCAGUGAAAGUGAUCUCUGCCUAGAGGGGAAAAAUGUGAAUCAGAAUAUGUAAAAAUCUUGCGUGUUGGCAUUUUUCAAGCUUUAAUCACGAAUAAUGUAUCAAAUAUAGGAUGAAAUCUUCA